ensembl:lncRNA LINC01777 long intergenic non-protein coding RNA 1777
UCUCUUAACCAGCGCAAUGUACUUAGGAGGUCAUGCGCCGGUUAAACUCUGCCAUUAUGCCUCUUACUGGGCAUGCUUGAGCCCACGGGCCCAACUCCUGAGAUCCCAUUCGGAAGCUGCUGAUCACCAGUUUCAAGUGUUUCUGUUUAUUGGGAGACUGCCUUCCUCUGGCACUGGCAGUGACCAAUUAUUAUUUUAGAGAGACUGUUAACGGCCUGACCAUCACCUGAUGAAUAUCAGGAAUGUGGCCUGACAUUCCUGGUGUGUGUGGUGUGGGGUACGAGGGGAGCUCUCUCCUACGCUGCUCAUGUCUGACUAGUUGGAUUCUGCAGAGUGGAAGUGGGAAACUCCUUCUGACCCUGGCCACCUGUCUCCAUGUGAAGGCAGAUCCAUUUGAGUGACAGUCCGAGGCAAUACCUCAACUGCCUCUCACUUCCCAAGACAAAUAAACCCACUUGACCUUGAUGUGCUUUUUGUGAAUACAUUGUGAGAUUGGACUUUCGGAUAUUUUAUUUAGAAUUUCUGCGUCUAUAUUCUUUGGGAGGUACACGGAGCGCCUUCUUUUCGUUUAGAGCAUUGGUGUCUCCACAUUAGAAGCAUCCUAUGUAGCUGUUCUGCUUGCAGCUGCCCAAGUCUGCCUGGGCCUCCUGCAUGAGGUCAUGAGUCUUAAUAAAGCCACUGACCCACACAUUUGGAAUCGUACUGACUUUUCACAACUAACAGCCAACACAUUGCCAAGAAGCAAUUCAAUUGUUGAGGAUAUCACAUCAUGCCAGGGAAAGAGAGAUGGAAUUCAGAAAGCCUGGGAUAUUGCAGGUUCUCUCCAUUCUCUCUCUCAGGACCCCCCAUUCUUCAUUCAUGAGGCUUAUCAUCAUUCUCUCUUCAUGAGCCCCAUGUGGACAGGGGCUUUAUCCAUCUCCUUUGCUUGGUCAUCUCUGGGUCCAACAUCCAGCCUGCCUGUGGCCGUUAAUAUUCUGCAUGAAGGGAUCAGUCUACACACAGAAACUUUGGCUGCCUGGUCUUGUUUCAUGAUGACUCUGGAAUUAUCAUAAUCCCAUUCUUUUUAAUUAUUUCCACCAUUCUGCUGUAUGCAGUUUAUGUUACAAUUAUACGUUGGCAACUAAA